rnacentral:sRNA from 1 species
GAAAAGAAAACUCAGUAGAAGAUAAUGGCAAGUCCAGACUGGGGAUAUGAUGACAAAAAUGAGUCUUGCUCUGUCGCCCAGGCUAGAGUGCAAUGGCAUGAUCUAGGCUCACUGCAACCUCUGCCUCCCAGGUUCAAGUGAUUCUCCUGCCUCAGCCUCCAGAGUAGCUGGGACUACAG